rnacentral:rRNA from 1 species
UACGUAGGGUGCGAGCGUUGUCCGGAAUUAUUGGGCGUAAAGAGCUCGUAGGUGGCGGGUCACGUCGGGUGUGAAAGCCCGGGGCUUAACUCCGGGUCUGCAUUCGAUACGGGUCUGCUGGGGUCCGGCAGGGGAGACUGGAAUUCCUGGUGUAGCGGUGAAAUGCGCAGAUAUCAGGAGGAACACCUAUUGCGAAGGCAGCUCGCUGGGACGUUACUGACGCUGAGACGCGAAAGCGUGGGGAGCAAACAGG